rnacentral:rRNA from 1 species
GGGUUGUGAGGUUAAGCGACUAAGCGUACACGGUGGAUGCCCUGGCAGUCAGAGGCGAUGAAGGACGUGCUAAUCUGCGAUAAGCGUCGGUAAGGUGAUAUGAACCGUUAUAACCGGCGAUUUCCGAAUGGGGAAACCCAGUGUGUUUCGACACACUAUCAUUAACUGAAUCCAUAGGUUAAUGAGGCGAACCGGGGGAACUGAAACAUCUAAGUACCCCGAGGAAAAGAAAUCAACCGAGAUUCCCCCAGUAGCGGCGAGCGAACGGGGAGCAGCCCAGAGCCUGAAUCAGUGUGUGUGUUAGUGGAAGCGUCUGGAAAGGCGCGCGAUACAGGGUGACAGCCCCGUACACAAAAAUGCACAUGCUGUGAGCUCGAUGAGUAGGGCGGGACACGUGGUAUCCUGUCUGAAUAUGGGGGGACCAUCCUCCAAGGCUAAAUACUCCUGACUGACCGAUAGUGAACCAGUACCGUGAGGGAAAGGCGAAAAGAACCCCGGCGAGGGGAGUGAAAAAGAACCUGAAACCGUGUACGUACAAGCAGUGGGAGCACAGAGCAAUCUGUGUGACUGCGUACCUUUUGUAUAAUGGGUCAGCGACUUAUAUUCUGUAGCAAGGUUAACCGAAUAGGGGAGCCGAAGGGAAACCGAGUCUUAACUGGGCGUUAAGUUGCAGGGUAUAGACCCGAAACCCGGUGAUCUAGCCAUGGGCAGGUUGAAGGUUGGGUAACACUAACUGGAGGACCGAACCGACUAAUGUUGAAAAAUUAGCGGAUGACUUGUGGCUGGGGGUGAAAGGCCAAUCAAACCGGGAGAUAGCUGGUUCUCCCCGAAAGCUAUUUAGGUAGCGCCUCGUGAAUUCAUCUCCGGGGGUAGAGCACUGUUUCGGCAAGGGGGUCAUCCCGACUUACCAACCCGAUGCAAACUGCGAAUACCGGAGAAUGUUAUCACGGGAGACACACGGCGGGUGCUAACGUCCGUCGUGAAGAGGGAAACAACCCAGACCGCCAGCUAAGGUCCCAAAGUCAUGGUUAAGUGGGAAACGAUGUGGGAAGGCCCAGACAGCCAGGAUGUUGGCUUAGAAGCAGCCAUCAUUUAAAGAAAGCGUAAUAGCUCACUGGUCGAGUCGGCCUGCGCGGAAGAUGUAACGGGGCUAAACCAUGCACCGAAGCUGCGGCAGCGACGCUUAUGCGUUGUUGGGUAGGGGAGCGUUCUGUAAGCCUGUGAAGGUGUACUGUGAGGUAUGCUGGAGGUAUCAGAAGUGCGAAUGCUGACAUAAGUAACGAUAAAGCGGGUGAAAAGCCCGCUCGCCGGAAGACCAAGGGUUCCUGUCCAACGUUAAUCGGGGCAGGGUGAGUCGACCCCUAAGGCGAGGCCGAAAGGCGUAGUCGAUGGGAAACAGGUUAAUAUUCCUGUACUUGGUGUUACUGCGAAGGGGGGACGGAGAAGGCUAUGUUAGCCGGGCGACGGUUGUCCCGGUUUAAGCGUGUAGGCUGGUUUUCCAGGCAAAUCCGGAAAAUCAAGGCUGAGGCGUGAUGACGAGGCACUACGGUGCUGAAGCAACAAAUGCCCUGCUUCCAGGAAAAGCCUCUAAGCAUCAGGUAACAUCAAAUCGUACCCCAAACCGACACAGGUGGUCAGGUAGAGAAUACCAAGGCGCUUGAGAGAACUCGGGUGAAGGAACUAGGCAAAAUGGUGCCGUAACUUCGGGAGAAGGCACGCUGAUAUGUAGGUGAAGUCCCUCGCGGAUGGAGCUGAAAUCAGUCGAAGAUACCAGCUGGCUGCAACUGUUUAUUAAAAACACAGCACUGUGCAAACACGAAAGUGGACGUAUACGGUGUGACGCCUGCCCGGUGCCGGAAGGUUAAUUGAUGGGGUCAGCGCAAGCGAAGCUCUUGAUCGAAGCCCCGGUAAACGGCGGCCGUAACUAUAACGGUCCUAAGGUAGCGAAAUUCCUUGUCGGGUAAGUUCCGACCUGCACGAAUGGCGUAAUGAUGGCCAGGCUGUCUCCACCCGAGACUCAGUGAAAUUGAACUCGCUGUGAAGAUGCAGUGUACCCGCGGCAAGACGGAAAGACCCCGUGAACCUUUACUAUAGCUUGACACUGAACAUUGAGCCUUGAUGUGUAGGAUAGGUGGGAGGCUUUGAAGUGUGGACGCCAGUCUGCAUGGAGCCGACCUUGAAAUACCACCCUUUAAUGUUUGAUGUUCUAACGUGGACCCGUGAUCCGGGUUGCGGACAGUGUCUGGUGGGUAGUUUGACUGGGGCGGUCUCCUCCUAAAGAGUAACGGAGGAGCACGAAGGUUGGCUAAUCCUGGUCGGACAUCAGGAGGUUAGUGCAAUGGCAUAAGCCAGCUUGACUGCGAGCGUGACGGCGCGAGCAGGUGCGAAAGCAGGUCAUAGUGAUCCGGUGGUUCUGAAUGGAAGGGCCAUCGCUCAACGGAUAAAAGGUACUCCGGGGAUAACAGGCUGAUACCGCCCAAGAGUUCAUAUCGACGGCGGUGUUUGGCACCUCGAUGUCGGCUCAUCACAUCCUGGGGCUGAAGUAGGUCCCAAGGGUAUGGCUGUUCGCCAUUUAAAGUGGUACGCGAGCUGGGUUUAGAACGUCGUGAGACAGUUCGGUCCCUAUCUGCCGUGGGCGCUGGAGAAUUGAGGGGGGCUGCUCCUAGUACGAGAGGACCGGAGUGGACGCAUCACUGGUGUUCGGGUUGUCAUGCCAAUGGCACUGCCCGGUAGCUAAAUGCGGAAGAGAUAAGUGCUGAAAGCAUCUAAGCACGAAACUUGCCCCGAGAUGAGUUCUCCCUGACUCCUUGAGAGUCCUGAAGGAACGUUGAAGACGACGACGUUGAUAGGCCGGGUGUGUAAGCGCAGCGAUGCGUUGAGCUAACCGGUACUAAUGAACCGUGAGGCUUAACCUUACAACGCCGAAGCUGUU